rnacentral:rRNA from 1 species
GGUGAGUAACACGUGAGUAACCUGCCCUUGACUUUGGGAUAACUUCAGGAAACUGGGGCUAAUACCGGAUAGGAGCUCCUGCUGCAUGGUGAGGGUUGGAAAGUUUCGGCGGUUGGGGAUGGACUCGCGGCUUAUCAGCUUGUUGGUGGGGUAGUGGCUUACCAAGGCUUUGACGGGUAGCCGGCCUGAGAGGGUGACCGGCCACAUUGGGACUGAGAUACGGCCCAG